UACGUAGGUGGCAAGCGUUGUCCGGAUUUACUGGGCGUAAAGAGCGCGCAGGCGGUCGGAUAAGUCGAAUGUGAAAGCCCCCGGCUCAACUGGGGAGGGUCAUUCGAUACUGUUCGACUCGAAGGCAGGAGAGGGAAGUGGAAUUCCCGGUGUAGUGGUGAAAUGCGUAGAUAUCGGGAGGAACACCUGUGGCGAAGGCGGCCGACUGGGCCGACCCUGACGCUGAGGCGCGAAGGCGUGGGGAGCGAACGGG
rnacentral:rRNA from 1 species